rnacentral:rRNA from 1 species
AGAGUUUGAUCCUGGCUCAGGAUGAACGCUAGCUACAGGCUUAACACAUGCAAGUCGAGGGGCAGCAUGAUCAAAGCUUGCUUUGGUUGAUGGCGACCGGCGCACGGGUGAGUAACGCGUAUCCAACCUUCCCCUUAGUAGGGCAUAGCCCGUAGAAAUGCGGAUUAAUACCCUAUGUUGUUCGUAGAGGACAUCUGAAAUGAACCAAAGGUUUACCGCUAAGGGAUGGGGAUGCGUCUGAUUAGGUAGUCGGCGGGGUAACGGCCCACCGAGCCUUCGAUCAGUAGGGGUUCUGAGAGGAAGGUCCCCCACAUUGGAACUGAGACACGGUCCAAACUCCUACGGNAGGCAGCAGUGAGGAAUAUUGGUCAAUGGACGAGAGUCUGAACCAGCCAAGUAGCNUGCAGGAUGACGGCCCUAUGGGUUGUAAACUGCUUUUAUACAGGGAUAAAGUAGGGAACGUGUUCCCUUUUGCAGGUACUGUAUGAAUAAGGACCGGCUAAUUCCGUGCCAGCAGCCGCGGUAAUACGGAAGGUCCGGGCGUUAUCCGGAUUUAUUGGGUUUAAAGGGAGCGCAGGCCGGAGUCAAGCGUGACGUGAAAUGUAGGGGCUCAACCUUUGAAUUGCGUCGCGAACUGGCUUUCUUGAGUGAGUACGACGUCAGCGGAAUUCGUGGUGUAGCGGUGAAAUGCUUAGAUAUCACGAAGAACCCCGAUUGCGAAGGCAGCUGACGAGUCCUUAACUGACGCUAAAGCUCGAAGGUGCGGGUAUCGAACAGGAUUAGAUACCCUGGUAGUCCGCACGGUAAACGAUGGAUGCCCGCUGUCGGCGACAGACUGUCGGCGGCCAAGCGAAAGCGUUAAGCAUCCCACCUGGGGAGUACGCCGGCAACGGUNAAACUCAAAGGAAUUGACGGGGGCCCGCACAAGCGGAGGAACAUGUGGUUUAAUUCGAUGAUACGCGAGGAACCUUACCCGGGCUUGAACUGCAGGAGAACGAUCCAGAGAUGGUGAGCUUCGGGGCUCCUGUGGAGGUGCUGCAUGGUUGUCGUCAGCUCGUGCC